AAGUCGUAACAAGGUUUCCGUAGGUGAACCUGCGGAAGGAUCAUUACCAAAUCCAAAUACCCAAACCCCAUGUGAAUUAUUGUAUAGUCUGUCUUUGGGAGAAAACGAAGGAGAAAUCUGGAUUUUUCUCCCAAUAGAGUCCGGCAUAACUUUAUGUUUUGUCCAGAUUCGAAACCCUUUUAAACCACUUGAUUUUUCUGUUGGAAUUACUUUUAUUAAUUUUAAAUAAAAGACAACUUUUAACGGUGGAUCUCUUGGCUCGUG
rnacentral:misc_RNA from 1 species